UUCGCUUGCUAUUCCGGAAAAGGUGGAGAGGAUUUGGGGUGGACAAUCGCGGAGCCUCCCACUGGCUUUAGGGAGAGAGAGGGCUGGGGUACAGGAGAGCCCUGGGGAGCAGGCAGAGGUGGGUUGGCGAGGGCCUUGUGUGACUUGGGCUGAGAAACUUCACUUAUUCCCUGGCGCUGGCAGUUGUCAAACUGGGUCUUGUAGAUGCUAAGUCUCCAUAGAGGUAUCUUAGUUUGGUGACAAGGAUGGGACACCUUGAGUGAGCCUUUCCACUGGGCAAAUUGGAGGAUGUGUAGCCAUCUUCGGUCAGACAAGAGGUCCUGCUUGCUGAAGUCUUUCUUCAACACAUUGACUCAGAUAUUCUCUCUGGGAUCCCUGAGCCCAUCUAACCUCUCGUCCGUCCAUCAACUGAUUACUGCUCUGUCACCUCAGACGAUACCACUGGGAGCAGGAGAACUGCCUAGCUGAGCCCUGCCUGAAUGUCUGACUCAUACCUCAUGGUGGAUGACCUUGUUCCUGGAGAGACUGCUGCAGAAUGAAAGCUCCAGGGGCUUGGGUACAGCAAGUAGGCUAUGCAUUUCCCACCAGCAGGAAUCUAGCUCCUGGCCAAGGAAAUCAUAUGUGAUGUGUAGGGAAGUGUGUGGGGCAGUGGAAGGAAUGUGGACCGUUGCCUCCCUCCGCUUGUCUGGAUGGCCUUGGAUGAGGUAGGCACUGAGACAUCAAAGCAGCCAAGUGCCGCCCUGACCUUGAGCCGGCCGCUGUACGACGAGGCUGCUGCUGUUGGCUCUGCGUGAUCAGGAGAGCGGAGAUCAAAGGUACCCAUUAUGCGGAACACAUGUGCUUCGGGUGUGAAGAGUGACUUGCAUAAUCACAAGACUUUCCAGAUUUACUGCUCUGCAAGAAUGUGGACAGGACGGAGGCCCACCUUCCAGAAGAAAACAGUAAGAUCCCUGGUUUAGCUUUAUCCCUCAUGUUUGAACUUUGUCUCCGACAUGCAGCAGUAGCCACAGACAAGACCUUGGAGCAAAUGCACUGGAAACCCUGUCCCCAGGACAAGCCCCUUUGAGGGCUCAGCUCACAGAUCCGUUCGUUAUUAAUUCAUAUCUGCAUAACUAUCCUUCUGUGUCCUGAAGGCUUUUGUCCUGAUUUUCCACAGAGGCGGAGCCAGUACCGCUCCUCGUUUGCGGAUGAGCACCUGCAGAGCACAAAGCCUCUGCGCUCGUGGGGGCUGCAGACUGCGAGCUGCUCCUCAGCCCCACACAGUGUUUCUUCAAUCCCUUUCCUGGUACCCACAGCCCGGCUGGAUAUAGUAGGCUAAUCCUCCCCAUCUAAAAUGGCUCUGAAAUCAGGCUGGGGAGAGAGAGUGCAAAGAAGUCAGUGUACUGAGGAAGUGCUCAGCUGGGACUCGGCGCCACCCUCCCAGACCUCACAUGCUUCACCUGCCACAGGCAGCCACACAGCCCCCAAUGGAGCCCUGCGCUAGCGAGGCUGGGAAAGGUGAAGUGGCUGCGGCUGGGGUGUGAGAAAGGGUUGAGGAGGGUCCCCAUGGGCCUUAGGCCAGGUGUGCCAUCAUACCUGGCCAGCCAGAAGCUGAGAAGACCUUGGCCAGAGGUCUGCUGCUGUCACAGGGCCUCAAACUGAGAAGCGUGGAGUCCCUCCUCCUAGGAACAGCACAGCACGUCCCUAGGCGCUGCUGUAGUGGGCCUUCUGUGCCAUAACUAAAUUGCCAGUCCUGGCUGUUAGAGCCUGGAGUGCUCGAUGUGUGGGGAGUUCAUUUCUUUUUUCUUUUUCUUUUCUUUUCUUUUUUUUUUUUUUUUUUUUGAGACAGAGUUUCACUCGUGUUGUUCAGGCUGGAGUGCAAUGGUGUGAUCUCAGCUCACUGCAACCUCUGCCUCCUGGAGGUCAAGCAAUUCUCCUGCCUCAGCCUCCCAAGUAGUUGGGAUUACAGGCAUAUGCCUCCACGCCUGGCUAAUUUUUGUUUUUUUGUAGAGACGGCCAUGUUGGCCAGGCUGGUCUUCAACUCCUGACCUCAGGUCAUCUGCCCACCUCCACCUCCCAAAGUGCUGGGAUUACAGGCAUAAGCCACAAGAAAUAAACCCGGCCUGGAGUUUAUUUCUUGAGGACCACAGUGCCCUGGCUCGUGCCUGAGCAGAGCUGAGCACACACUGCUGUUUCUCUCACCCGUGCUUCUUUCCUGGACCCUUGGGGUAAUUGCCAGCCUCAGAACCACCGGCCAGGAAAGCCGGGGCAAGUGUGGGGGUGGAGCAGUGUGGGCAGAGACUGUGGUGGCUGGGCUGGGUUGCAGCUGGGGAACAGGCAGGAGGAAGGGAGGGCCAGGGCUCUCUAGGGGUGCGCCUUGGUGUGGGAAAGCAAGCUGCCCAAGGCAGGGUGCACUCAGGUGGGCAGGGCAGAGGCAGAGGCCAGGUGGCAGGCUGUGUGCAUCCUGCCUUCUAGGGUCUGUAUUCUGAGGCUUUGACAUCUAGUGUCUUGCUGACACUGAAGGGACAGCCCCUCCCAGGGUGUCAGUUCCUAGAGACAGGGAACAACUCUGUGCCUUUCCCACGUGAACCAAGCAAUCCAGAGUCCUACCCACUCCUCUAUGGGACUCUCAUACUCCAGGCCACUGUCUCCCUUCCCUCGUCACCCCAAAGCCAGGUCAGAGAACUAGGGACAGCUGCUGCAGACCAGAGCCCCGAGGUUAUGCAAAGCAGCCAGUCCUGGCCCUGCGGACCCCGCCUCUCCUCUUUCUUUCCAUAAAACCACAAUGAAGACUCCUGCCCAUGUUUCCCCUCCUUCUGCCUCCUGACCCACCUCCGUGUUUCUCCGUGGCCCUGUGUGGGUGACGUGCCUCCUCUGGGAACUGUGAGUACAGACUAUCUAAUGGCAGUCACCUCCUGGUCUGCUGAGCUUCAUAUGCCUUGGAUUUUCUAUUAAUACACUAUAUUUUAAGGCACGGGAUGCAGAGACUCAUGUUGGGGACCUGGGGCCGGAUAUACUCCUGCUCCCAUGGCCUCCCAGCUGCUCCCUGGCCCAGGGUAAGAGUCACUUCCCUGCCCAGCUCUGCCAUGCCUGUCUUUGGUCCUCAAAGUCCACUUGACUCCAUCUUCAAAGUAUAUCUUGGCCAUAAAUGCUCCUCACUGUGCCCACCUGGUCCAGCCCAGCACAACUUUCACCUGGAUUAUGGCGGUAGCCUCUCUACUGGGCUCCCCACCCCUUCUUGUUUGCUGGGGUCCAUUUCUUGUCCAGCAGCCAGCGUGCUGUUUCUACGCACAAAGGAGAUCCCGGAUGCCCCUGCUGGAGUCUUCCAGAGGCCUCUUCUGAUGCCCAGGAGAGAGAGCACAGCCUUCUCACGGUGCCCUGCAGGGAUCUGUGUGCCUUGGACACUGCCCACACUCUGGCCUCAUGCCCAUCCACACGCACCUUCUUGUCUCUUUCAAACAUGCCACAUCCUGUCUCAGGGCCUUGGCGUCUGCUAUUCCUGCCAUUGGUGUGACUUUCUUUCACUUCUGCACACGAUUGCCUGUUUCUUGUUACUCAGGCCUCUCCUCAGAUGUUACCAUCUCAGCGAGGCUGUCCUUGGCCACCCCUAAUAGCACCUCCCUCACCUCUCCAUGACACCCGUUUCAGCUUCUCCAUAGCUGAAAUUAUCCUCUUUAUCUGCUUAAGUGUUUAUUGGCUACCUUUACCCAGUAGACUGCAAGCUCUUUGAGGGCAGCCGCUCUCCCUCAUCCACAUCGUGUUUCCAGUGUCCAGGACAAGGCUCGAUGUUAGAAGUCAGUGAGCUUGCCUGACUGCUGGACUGCAGGGUGCUCUAGGAUGCAGAAACACUGCCCCUUGUAUUUCCCUUGGCUGUCUUUUAAAUCACAUCCCAUAUAUAAGCUUUUCAUAAAUGUAGCUCUGUU